AUCCCAUGGUGUGGGAACUUCCUCAAUAACUCUUUAAAUCUCUCCCAAGCUUCACAAAAGUAUUCGUUUUCCAGUAGCUGAAAAUGCAUGAUUUCAUUGCGAAACUU